ensembl:misc_RNA 7SK 7SK RNA
AGAUGUGAGGGCGAUCUGGCCGCGACAUCUGUCACCCCAUUGAUUGCCAGGGUUGAUUCGGCUUAUCUGGCUGGCUAGGCGGGUGUCCCCUUCCUCCCUCAUGGCUCCAUGUGCGUCCCUCCCAAAGCUACGCGCUCGGUCAAAGAGGACGACCAUCCCCGAUAGAGGAGGACCGGUCCUAGGUCAAGGGUAUACGAGUAGCUGUGCUCCCCUGCUAGAACCUCCAAACAAGCUCUCAAGAAAUGAACUCAUUUUCUUGCCCGUGUAAUUGUAACCUCUCUAUACAGUAUUUUCACAAUUAAAAAAAAAAAGUUCUAAGGAGCAAGCCUUUUUGAUCU